AUGGACCACAUGCGCGUCGACUUCAUGUGCUUGUCGAGCAAGCCGUGCCAUGGCACCAUGCUGUUCUCGGACACCCGCUCCGGCGUCUAUUGGGUGUGUAACCCUAGCACCGGAGAGUGUGUCCCCUUGCCAAAGCAGCACCACGGCUUGAUACAAUCGAGCGCCGGCUUGGUCUACGAUGAUCGGACCAAAGAGCGCAAGGUGGUCCAUCUCUUCACGAAAGAUAGGGAUCUCCACUGUGAGAUUUACACGCUCUGCGUCCCCAACGGGAGGUGGAGGCCGGCAAACCAUGACAUAGAGCUGUUGGUGGGAUCAGAGAUCAUGACAAAACUCAUCAACGCCCUGCAAACUCAAGACUCGGUGACAAAGACACCUCCGGUGUUUGCAAAUGGAUGCUUGCAUUGGCUAGUAUACCCUAAUAGUACGGAUAUGCAAAUGGACGUUGUUCUUUGCUUCUCCGUCGCCACAGAAACCUUCCAAUUGCUCAAUGCGCCUGCAAGUGUGCAUGUGGCAGAGUACAGUGAAUUGGACGAGUAUUUGCCGGCAGUCCCAAUGCAUCUAGCGGAGUUAGAAGGCUCGUUGUGCCUGGUCCAUGAUCUCCGCCGACGAGGGCAAGCUAGGAGUUGGCUGGAUGUAUGGAUGCUCAGGGAUCCUGCUGCCAGUGAGUGGUCACUAGACUAUCGCAUCGCUGUCACACCUCUUCUGGCGCUGGAUCUACAUAGCCCCCGGUUCAUCACUAUCCUCGGGUGCUCUAGUGGAGGCGACAGUUGUGCGGGUAAUGAUCAGGAGAAGAGAAAGAUACUGAUCGCUACAUCACGCCACCAGGUCCAUGCUUACAAUCCAGACAAUGGGGAUAUCGAACUUGUACUCUCUGCUCCUGAAACUAAUGCCCGAAUCAGCCAAAAGGAGUCAGCUGCCGCGCUUUGGCUUGGUCUAUACGAGGACAACUUAGUCCGGAUUGAGGGGGGAAAUCGUCAGGAGAAGGAGGUGCUAUCGGUUGUUACCAAGAUCCUAGUGCGGCUUUCGGUCAAGUCUAUCGCUCGGUCGAUGCUGGUAUGCAGACAAUGGUGCUCACUUAUCGAGAGUGAGAGUUUUGUUACAAAACACAUGUCAGAAAAUAGACCGACGAGGAUUUUGAUGAUCAAUAAUGGUCGUGCUCGGCGUGCUUUCUUUGACUUUACCUCAGUGAAGAAUUGGCUUCAAGCUGCAGGGCCCGCUGUUGCAGACACUCUUGUCAAUGAUAAGAUCAUAUGCUCCAAAACGUGCCAUGGACUCAAUCUGAUAAGCACCUACACCGAUGACUUUAUGUGCAACCCAUGCACCGGUGCCACCAAGUGUCUCGGAAGACAUGGAAAAUCAAACUUCACACCAGCCGGACACCAUCACCAUCACGCAUUUUCAGUCGGUAGAAACGUCGGUUUCGGUUUCGACCAGUCAACUAGAGAGCAUGUUGCCGUCGAGAUAGGCUACAUCAAGGGUACUUUGGCUUGCAUGAUCAAAACGAGCAGCGAAAAGCAGUGGAUCUGCAUUGGCAAGCCUCCGAUGAUGAUGAGUGAUAUGCCACCCGCGCAUGUCGACGGAACUCUCUACUGGAUGAGCGAUUACAGACAUGAGCGUGUCAUUGUUGCCUUUGACAUCUCUGCCCGUGCGUUCAGCACCCUUCCAUGUGAACCAAGCUUGAACAAUGAUGUUCGCCACACAUUCUCGUUGAGCUAA
rnacentral:rRNA from 1 species